rnacentral:rRNA from 1 species
AUUAGACUACCCCUGUACGUCCCAGACCGUAAACUAUGCGCGUUAGGUGUACUGGUGACCACGAGUCGACCGGGUGCCGAAGGGAAACCGUGAAACGUGCCGCCUGGGAAGUACGGUCGCAAGGCUGAAACUUAAAGGAAUUGGCGGGGAGCACCACAACGGGUGGAGCCUGCGGUUUAAUUGGACUCAACGCCGGAAAUCUCACCGGAUAGGACAGACAUAUGAUAGUCGGGCUGAAGACUCUACUUGAUGAUCUG